rnacentral:rRNA from 1 species
AGUGAACGCUGGCGGUAGGCCUAACACAUGCAAGUCGAACGGCAGCACAGUAAGAGCUUGCUCUUACGGGUGGCGAGUGGCGGACGGGUGAGGAAUACAUCGGAAUCUACUUUUUCGUGGGGGAUAACGUAGGGAAACUUACGCUAAUACCGCAUACGACCUACGGCUGAAAGCAGUGGAUCUUCGGACCUUGCGCGAUUGAAUGAGCUGAUGUCGGAUUAGCUAGUUGGCGGGGUAAAGGCCCACCAAGGCGACGAUCCGUAGCUGGUCUGAGAGGAUGAUCAGCCACACUGGAACUGAGACACGGUCCAGACUCCUACGGGAGGCAGCAGUAGGGAAUAUUGGACAAUGGGCGCAAGCCUGAUCCAGCCAUACCGCGUGGGUGAAGAAGGCCUUCGGGUUGUAAAGCCCUUUUGUUGGGAAAGAAAAACAGCAGGUUAAUACCCCGCUGUUCUGACGGUACCCAAAGAAUAAGCACCGGCUAACUUCGUG